GCCCGCCUAGCUCAAUCGGAUAGAGCGUCAGACUCUUAGGUGGGGUGGAGAUCACAUCCAAACUGUAAUCUGAAGGCUGCGAGUUCGACCCUCGCGGUGGGCU